CGAGCGCCCCGCAAGGGGAGCGGCAGACGGGUGAGUAACGCGUGGGAACGUACCCUUUGCUACGGAAUAGCUCCGGGAAACUGGAAUUAAUACCGUAUGUGCCCUACGGGGGAAAGAUUUAUCGGCAAAGGAUCGGCCCGCGUUGGAUUAGCUAGUUGGUGGGGUAAUGGCCUACCAAGGCGACGAUCCAUAGCUGGUCUGAGAGGAUGAUCAGCCACAUUGGGACUGAGACACGGCCCAAACUCCUACGGGAGGCAGCAGUGGGGAAUAUUGGACAAUGGGCGCAAGCCUGAUCCAGCCAUGCCGCGUGAGUGAUGAAGGCCUUAGGGUUGUAAAGCUCUUUCACCGGAGAAGAUAAUGACGGUAUCCGGAGAAGAAGCCCCGGCUAACUUCGUGCCAGCAGCCGCGGUAAUACGAAGGGGGCUAGCGUUGUUCGGAAUUACUGGGCGUAAAGCGCACGUAGGCGGGCAUUUAAGUCAGGGGUGAAAUCCCAGAGCUCAACUCUGGAACUGCCUUUGAUACUGGGUGUCUUGAGUAUGGAAGAGGUAAGUGGAAUUCCGAGUGUAGAGGUGAAAUUCGUAGAUAUUCGGAGGAACACCAGUGGCGAAGGCGGCUUACUGGUCCAUUACUGACGC
rnacentral:rRNA from 1 species